UCCCCUAGUAACUGCGAGUGAAGCGGGAAAAGCUCAAAUUUAAAAUCUGAGGGUCUUUAUGGCCUUCCGAGUUGUAAUCUAGAGAAGUGCUAUCCGCGCUGGACCGUGUACAAGUCUCCUGGAACGGAGCGUCAUAGAGGGUGAGAAUCCCGUCUUUGACACGGACUACCAGGGCUUAUGUGAUGCGCUCUCAAAGAGUCGAGUUGUUUGGGAAUGCAGCUCUAAAUGGGUGGUAAAUUCCAUCUAAAGCUAAAUAUUGGCGAGAGACCGAUAGCGAACAAGUACCGUGAGGGAAAGAUGAAAAGAACUUUGGAAAGAGAGUUAAACAGUACGUGAAAUUGUUGAAAGGGAAACGCUUGAAGUCAGUCGCAUUGGCCAGGGAUCAACCUUGCUUUUGCUUGGUGUAUUUUCUGGUUAAUGGGUCAGCAUCAAUUUUGAUCGGUGGAAAAAGAUCAAGGGAAUGUGGCAUCUUCGGAUGUGUUAUAGCCUUUGGUUGUAUACAUCGGUUGGGAUUGAGGAACUCAGCACGCCGCAAGGCCGGGUUUUUAACCACGUACGUGCUUAGGAUGCUGGCAUAAUGGCUUUAAUCGACCCGUCUUGAAACACGGACCAAGGAGUCUAACAUGCACGCGAGUGUUUGGGUGGAAAACCCGAGCGCGUAAUGAAAGUGAAAAUUGAGAUCCCUGUCGUGGGGAGCAUCGAUGCCCGGACCAGACCUUUUGUGACGGUUCCGCGGUUGAGCGUGUAUGCUGGGACCCGAAAGAUGGUGAACUAUGCCUGAAUAGGGUGAAGCCAGAGGAAACUCUGGUGGAGGCUCGUAUCGAUUCUGACGUGCAAAUCGAUCGUCAAAUUUGGGUAUAGGGGCGAAAG
rnacentral:rRNA from 1 species